UGGGAAGGUCCUGGUAGGUCUAUAGUGGAACAGCUCGGGCUUGGCAGGUCCUGCUGGCAGUAUUCAACCAUAAAGUGUGUGUCCUCCCCCCCCCCCAGGUACACCAUCUUCAAGGACCACGUCCACACUCGGGGACUAUGAGAUCCACGAUGGGAUGAACCUGGAUAGCCUCUACUAUCAAUAAUUGGGCCCCCCAUGGAACCCCCAAAUACCCCAUAGGACCCUAUUGCCCCCCUAUGGGACUCUCUUGCCCCCCCAUAGGGACCCUCCUACCCCCCGAUGGAAAACCCACCUACCCCCCUAUGAGGACCCCUUAUUGCCCCCCUAUUGGACCCCCCUAUCCCCCAUAGGACCCUCCUACCCCCCCAUAGGACCCUAUUGCCCCCCUAUGGGACCCUCCUACCCCCCAUAGGACCCUCUUGCCCCCCCAUAUGACCCUGUUGGACCCCCACAUAGACUUCU
rnacentral:lncRNA from 1 species